AUUGAACGCUGGCGGCAUGCCUUACACAUGCAAGUCGAACGGCAGCGGGCCUUCGGGUGCCGGCGAGUGGCGAACGGGUGAGUAAUGCAUCGGAACGUGCCAUUGAGUGGGGGAUAACGUAGCGAAAGUUACGCUAAUACCGCAUAUUCUGUGAGCAGGAAAGCAGGGGACCGCAAGGCCUUGCGCUCUUUGAGCGGCCGAUGUCAGAUUAGCUAGUUGGUGAGGUAAAGGCUUACCAAGGCGACGAUCUGUAGCGGGUCUGAGAGGAUGAUCUGCCACACUGGAACUGAGACACGGUCCAGACUCCUACGGGAGGCAGCAGUGGGGAAUUUUGGACAAUGGGCGCAAGCCUGAUCCAGCCAUGCCGCGUGAGUGAAGAAGGCCUC
rnacentral:rRNA from 1 species